rnacentral:rRNA from 1 species
AUACGGAGGAUGCGAGCGUUAUCCGGAUUUAUUAGGUUUAAAGGGUGUGUAGGCGGUAUUUUAAGUCAGUGGUGAAAUCUCGGAGCUUAACUUCGAAACUGCCAUUGAUACUGGAAUACUUGAGUAUAGUUGAGGUAGGCGGAAUAUGUAAUGUAGCGGUGUAAUGCAUAGAUAUUACAUAGAACACCGAUUGCGAAGGCAGCUUACUAAACUAUUACUGACGCUGAUGCACGAAAGCGUGGGGAGCGAACAGGAUUAGAAACCCCAGUAGUCC